AAUGAACGUUGGCGGCAUGGAUUAGGCAUGCAAGUCGAGCGAGAAGAGUUUUGAAGCUUGCUUUAGAACUCGGAAAGCGGCGAAAGGGAGAGUAACGAGUAGUUAUCUACCCCAAGGCCCGGAAUAGCUGCGGGAAACUGCAGGUAAUGCCGGAUAAUAUCCCCGGAUCAAAGGUGUGAUUCCGCCUUGGGAGGAGACUGCUUUGUACUAGCUUGUUGGUAGGGUAAUGGCCUGCCAAGGCUACGAUGCAUAGCGGGCGUGAGAGCGUGGCCCGCCUCACUGGGACUGAAACACUGCCCAGACACCUACGGGUGGCUGCAGUCGAGAAUCUUCGGCAAUGGGCGAAAGCCUGACCGAGCAAUGCCGCGUGCGGGAUGAAGGCCUUCGGGUUGUAAACCGCUGUCGUAGAGGAGAAAGGUCUGAUGAAGAAUCAGAUUUGAUCUAUUCUAGGAGGAAGUCGGGGCUAAGUUCGCGCCAGCAGCCGCGGUAACAC
rnacentral:rRNA from 1 species